AGAGUUUGAUCAUGGCUCAGAACGUACGCUGGCGGCACGCCUAACACAUGCAAGUCGAACGAAGUAGCAAUACUUAGUGGCGAACGGGUGAGUAUAAUGUGGGUAUCUGCCUUUUGGUUUGGAAUAACACGAGGAAACUUGUGCUAAUACCGGAUAAGCCCUUACGGGGAAAGUUUUAACGCCGAAAGAUGAGCCCGCACUUGAUUAGCUAGUUGGUAAGGUAAAAGCUUACCAAGGCUACGAUCAAUAGCUGAUCUGAGAGGAUGAUCAGCCACAUUGGGACUGAGACACGGCCCAAACUCCUACGGGAGGCAGCAGUGGGGAAUCUUGCACAAUGGGGGAAACCCUGAUGCAGCGAUGCCGCGUGAGUGAAGAAGGCCCUUGGGUUGUAAAGCUCUUUCGUCGGGGAAGAAAAUGACUGUACCCGAAUAAGAAGGUCCGGCUAACUUCGUGCCAGCAGCCGCGGUAAUACGAAGGGACCUAGCGUAGUUCGGAAUUACUGGGCUUAAAGAGCACGUAGGUGGUUAGAAUAGUUGGUGGUGAAAUCCCAGAGCUUAACUCUGGAACUGCCACCAAAACUUUUUGACUAGAGUGUGAUAGAGGUAAGCGGAAUUUCUAGUGUAGAGGUGAAAUUCGUAGAUAUUAGAAAGAACACCAAUUGCGAAGGCAGCUUUCUGGAUCAUUACUGACACUGAGGUGCGAAAGCAUGGGUAGCGAAGAGGAUUAGAUACCCUCGUAGUCCAUGCUGUAAACGAUGUGUGCUAGACGUUGGAAAUUUAUUUUUCAGUGUCGCAGCAAAAGCGUUAAGCACACCGCCUGGGGAGUACGACCGCAAGGUUAAAACUCAAAUGAAUUGACGGGGACCCGCACAAGUAGUGGAGCAUGUGGUUUAAUUCGAAGAUACGCGCAGAACCUUACCAACACUUGACAUGUUCGUCGCGACUCUAAGAGAUUAGAGUCUUCGGUUCGGCCGGACGAAACACAGGUGCUGCAUGGCUGUCGUCAGCUCGUGUCGUGAGAUGUUGGGUUAAGUCCCGCAACGAGCGCAACCCUCACUUUUAGUUGCUACCAUUUAGUUGGGCACUCUAAAAGAACUGCCAGUGAUAAGCUGGAGGAAGGUGGGGAUGACGUCAAGUCCUCAUGGCCCUUACGUGUUGGGCUACACACGUGCUACAAUGGUACUUACAAUGAGAUGCUAGGAGGCGACUCUAAGCUAAUCUCAAAAAGGUACCUCAGUUCGGAUUGCACUCUGCAACUCGAGUGCAUGAAGCUGGAAUUACUAGUAAUCGCGGAUCAGCGCGCCGCGGUGAAUACGUUCCCGGGUCUUGUACACACCGCCCGUCACACCAUGGAAGUUGGUUACACCUUAAGACAGAGCGUAAAAACUUUGGCUACGGUACGAUCAGCGACUGGGGUGAAGUCGUAACAAGGUAGCCGUAGGGGAACCUGCGGCUG
rnacentral:rRNA from 1 species